AUACGGAGGAUCCGAGCGUUAUCCGGAUUUAUUGGGUUUAAAGGGUGCGCAGGCGGGAGAUUAAGUCGGCGGUGAAAUUUUGCAGCUCAACUGUAAAAGUGCCUUCGAAACUGGUUUCCUUGAGUGUAGAUGAAGUAGGCGGAAUUUGUGGUGCAGCGGUGAAAUGCAUAGAUAUCACGAGGAACUCCGAUUGCGCAGGCAGCUUACUAAACUACUACUGACGCUCAGGCACGAAGGCGUGGGGAUCAAACAGGAUUAGAUACCCUGGUAGUCCACGCAGUAAACGAUGAUUACUAGCUGUUUGCGAUACAAUGUAAGCGGCUGAGCGAAAGCGUUAAGUAAUCCACCUGGGGAGUACGUUCGCAAGAAUGAAACUCAAAGGAAUUGACGGGG
rnacentral:rRNA from 1 species